rnacentral:rRNA from 1 species
GACGAACGCUGGCGGCAUGCUUAACACAUGCAAGUCGAACGGAAAGGCCCUGCUUUUGUGGGGUGCUCGAGUGGCGAACGGGUGAGUAACACGUGAGAAACCUGCCCUUGACUUUGGGAAAACUUCAGGAAACUGGGGCUAAUACCGGAUAGGAGCUCCUGCUGCAUGGUGGGGGUUGGAAAGUUUCGGCGGUUGGGGAUGGACUCGCGGCUUAUCAGCUUGUUGGUGGGGUAGUGGCUUACCAAGGCUUUGACGGGUAGCCGGCCUGAGAGGGUGACCGGCCACAUUGGGACUGAGAUACGGCCCAGACUCCUACGGGAGGCAGCAGUGGGGAAUAUUGCACAAUGGGCGGAAGCCUGAUGCAGCAACGCCGCGUGCGGGAUGACGGCCUUCGGGUUGUAAACCGCUUUCGCCUGUGACGAAGCGUGAGUGACGGUAAUGGGUAAAGAAGCACCGGCUAACUACGUG